GCCUGGGUGGCUCAGUUGGUUAAGUGUCUGACUUCAGCUCACGUCAUGAUCUCGCAGUUUGUGGGUCUGAGCCCCACCUCGGGCU
rfam:Felis catus isolate Cinnamon breed Abyssinian chromosome X, whole genome shotgun sequence.